CGAGAAAGCCCGCAAGGGUGAGUACAGCGGCGCACGGGUGCGUAACACGUGGGUAAUCUGCCCUGAAGUCCGGAAUAACUCGCCGAAAGGCGUGCUAAUGCCGGAUGAGACCACGGGAGCCUCGGCUCCUGCGGGAAAAGGUGGCCUCUGUAUACAAGCUAUCACUUCAGGAUGAGCCCGCGGCCCAUCAGCUCGUUGGCGGGGUAAUGGCCCACCAAGGCUACGACGGGUAGCUGGUCUGAGAGGACGAUCAGCCACACUGGAACUGAGACACGGUCCAGACUCCUACGGGAGGCAGCAGUGGGGAAUCUUGCGCAAUGGGCGAAAGCCUGACGCAGCAACGCCGCGUGUGUGAUGAAGGUCUUCGGAUCGUAAAGCACUGUCGCGAGGGACG
rnacentral:rRNA from 1 species